rnacentral:rRNA from 1 species
UAGGGAAUCUUCCACAAUGGGCGAAAGCCUGAUGGAGCAACGCCGCGUGUGUGAUGAAGGGUUUCGGCUCGUAAAACUCUGUUGGUAGAGAAGAACGUUGGUGAGAGUGGAAAGCUCAUCAAGUGACGGUAACUACCCAGAAAGGGACGGCUAACUACGUGCCAC